rnacentral:lncRNA from 1 species
CUUUAUUUUGAUGUAAUGGUUUUAACCUUUACGGAGUGCGUGUGUGUGCACGUGCAUGUGUGUGCACAUGGCUCUCCAGUUCUCUGGGGCUGGCCUGAUUUGCGUGGCCUCUCAAACCUGACUGCAAGGAAGGUUGGGAGAUGGUUUAGCUGUGUGCCCAGGACAGCCACGAGGAUGACUCUUCACCCUGGAUUUAGGUUCCCAGAAACCGCAAAGUGAGGUUCACCAGCUGCCUCUGAGACUCACAAAAUAAUGACAGAAGAGUCUGACUUGAUGUUCUAGCAGGUUGAAGAGGCAGGGGAAGGUUGGUAGAAAAGCAUGUACAGAACAGCAAUGGAGGCUGCAUCUCCUCUGUGGCUCUGGGUCCUGGACGCUGGGGCCACAGCGGGGGUCCAUAGCGCCUCUUCCCUCCCUCCGUCCUUGGCCAUUUGCCCUUUGGAAUCUAUUAGUGAGCUCUGCCAUUGUUUUUCUGAUUUCAUUAAAAAUGCCACCAAGACACAUGCUCUGCAGCAUGCCACUUCAGUCCUAAGUGGGGCAUUUUUGCUAGAUGAAUCGAUUUCUUAAAUGACAGCAUCUGUUUGCUUGUACACAUUUAUUUAUAAUUCUUCCCUUGGCAAUUAGAGCUGGGGAAUCAGUGAGCGGCAACCAGCUGUUUGAAUUAGCGGGGAAGGGGGGCAGAGAUUUGAUCUGUGAAGGAGAACCAAAGCCCUGGCCGGAAGCGAUAAAAACAGAACAGAUGUCCCCAGAUACACAGUCGUGGGGAGGAACUUGUAAAUCACAUUCACUGCCGGCCCCAGAGAGAUGGCAGCUGAGCUGGAGGAGCCAGAAAAUCCAUGACGGUGGGUGGCUGUGUCUGACUCCCCCUGGGACUCAAGGAGAUUGAUGGAUUCGGGGGCGGGGGGCAGUGGAGUAGCUGAAGGGAGUGGAAUUUGGUGAGUUGGACCCUCUGGUGAAUCCCCAUUGCACUCAGGGGAAACCCAAAGUCCUUACCACGGUCCACAAGGCCCUGUGGAUACGGGCGCUGUUACUCCUCUGCCCUCACUCCCUUCUGCUCUCUGCCUGCCUCACUCAGUCUGCUCCAGCCACCACGGCUCCUCACUGCUCCUAGAACGUGCCGGCUGCUCCCCCUCCUCAGGGCCUCUGAGGUGCCGGCGUCCCCUGUCUGGAGCUCUCCUUCUCCAUCUCCUCUCCACGGGGCUCGCUCUCACUCCUCUUUCAAAUCCGAGCUCCAACGUCACUUCUCAGAACCUGCUAGUUAACACUGCGCCUCGAGCAUCCUCUUCUCUCUUCCCGAGUUUAAUUUUCUCCCGGGCACUCACAACCUUUCUAACUCAACGUACAUCUUUUACAAGUUUAUUUUCUGUCUGCUUCAUGGAAGCUUCAUGAUGGCAGGGACCUCAUCUAUCUUGCUCACUGCUGAACUGUGCUUGGCACACAGUAGGUGCUCUGUAAAUAUCGGCUGAUUCAAUGGAAGGAUUUUUCAUAUGGGGGAACACAUCGCCCCUUUUUACUCCCCCCUCUGCAACUUGGGGAUGGGUCACAGCUCAGGUCACUGAGGGUGGCUCCCUGAGGACACCGACUCUGUAUUCUUGAUCUCCGUAGCUCCCCAGGGCCCAGCCCAGAGUCUGGCACACAGUAGGUGUGUAAUCAAUAGUUGUUGAAUAAAGAGAUGACUAAAUGACCCAGGCUGACGCUCAACAAUGCUCAAGGCAAAAAUGAGGCCUCAUCCAGAUGCCCUCUUUUAUUCCCUUGCCGGCAGCAACGAGUCUGACCAGCAGCGCCUGUAAAGUAUGCCUUGCAUGCGAGCACGUCUGCAGUUCCCCGCUUAGUACCCUGGCCUGAGCCGCUUCACCUCCUCCCAGACAGGUGCAACAGCUCCUAACCGGUCCCCGUUGCCACUCUCGCGCCCCCUACAGUCUGUUCUUCGCACAGCGGCAAGAGUGAGUUCACAGAACUGUCAAUCAGAUCGCGCCAACUGCUGCUCACCGCCCUCCAAAAGAGGCUUGUUCCACACCCAGACUCCGCCCUGCGCCGCCUGGUCGUGCGCGCGUGCCUGGCUCCUCGGCCCUCCCUCUCCGCGCUGGGCCACACUGGUCUCCUCUGAACGUCGCUUGGAGCCUCUGUGCUUGCUCUUCCUCUUCCUGGAAAGCCUUCUCCCUAGUUGGUUCCACGCCGGCUCCUUUAUCCUUCAGCAGAACUUAGAGCUUCUUGGAAGAACUAAGAGGCGGCAGGGGAUUCAAGGCACCACUGAACGUCUUGGAGCAACAGUGGGGAGAAGGGACCCCUCCCAGACUGCGGAGAAACUUCCCUUGGCUGGGGCAGGGGAGGGGGGGGGGGGGGGGG